rnacentral:rRNA from 1 species
GUCCACGCCGUAAACGGUGAGUGCUCGUCGUCGUGGGUAUUGACCCCUGCGGUGACCAAGUUAACGCAUGAAGCACUCCGCCUGGGAAGUACGGUCGCAAGACUAAAACUCAAAGAAAUUGACGGGGGCCCGCACAAGCGGUGGAGCAUGUUGUUUAAUUCGAAGCAACGCGCAGAACCUUACCUGGAUUUGACAUCUCGGGAAUCUCUCUGAAAGGAGAGAGUGCCUUCGGGAACCCGAUGA